GCACUUUUUGGUAAGAAGAUGUUAACAAAAGUUGUUCGUCUUGAUGAGGGCUACAACUUUGCUUAAUAUCCUUUUAACAAAUUAUGCGUAUUUAAGGAGAUAAGGCUGCGCAUGCACAGAACGUAUCUCCUUAGCUUUGCACUUUUUGGUAAGAAGAUGUUAACAAAAGUUGUUCGUCAUGAUGAGGGCUACAACUUUGCUUAAUAUCCUUUUAACAAAUUAUGC
rnacentral:miRNA from 1 species